rnacentral:rRNA from 1 species
AGCUCUACCUUAGUUUUUUUGUUAAACUGAACAAGACCUCAGACUUAAGAGCUAUUCGAAUAAGGCACAGCUUAUUUGAAACAGGACACAACCUACGACAUAGGGUAACCAAGAGUGACUUAAAUAAAGUGGGCCUAAAAGCAGCCAUCUUUAAAAAAGCGUUAAAGCUUAACUACCCCUCACUCACAAUACCUAAAGCCCUCACUAACCCCUCAUCACUAUUGAACAGCUUUAUACUCAUAUAAAAGCUAUUAUGCUAGAACUAGUAACAAGAAACUGCCUUUCUCCUAAAUGUAAGUAUAUACCAAAAUAAACUCUGUUGGUUAUUAACGUAAAUGCUAAACUAUAGUAACACCCACUAGAAAACCCUAUAACUCCUAACGUUAACCUUACACCAGAACAUUCCAGGAAAGAUUAAAAGAAAAAGAAGGAACUCGGCAAAUCAUAGCCUCGCCUGUUUACCAAAAACAUCGCCUCUUGCAAAACAUAAGAGGUCCAGCCUGCCCAGUGACAAAGUUCAACGGCCGCGGUACCCUAACCGUGCGAAGGUAGCAUAAUCACUUGUUCUUUAAAUGAGGACUCGUAUCAACGGCACUACGAGGGCUAUACUGUCUCCUUUUUCCAAUCAGUGAAACUGAUCUCCCCGUGAAGAAGCGGGGAUCAAAAUAUAAGACGAGAAGACCCCAUGGAGCUUUAAACUCUCUGUACACUUCUGUGUUCCUACAUCAUUAGACAUAAGAAAUCUGCACACUAGUUUUAGGUUGGGGGGACCACGGAGUACAAUUUAACCUCCAUAACAAAUGGGCUAAUUACCCUUAUCCACGAGACACACCUCUAAGAAUUACUAAACUAAUGCUUAUGACCCGAUAUUCGAUCAAUGAACCAAGUUACCCUGGGGAUAACAGCGCAAUCUACUUCAAGAGCUCAUAUCGACAAGUAGGUUUACGACCUCGAUGUUGGAUCAGGGUAUCCCGGUGGUGCAGCCGCUACUAAUGGUUCGUUUGUUCAACGAUUAAAACCCUACGUGAUCUG